AAAAAAGAAAUAAAAAAAAAAAAAAUUGAAACCAUACAGUACUAACUUGAUACAAGUGAGAAAGUGUGAAACCAUAUGGGCGGUAUUUGACGUUUAUCUUUUUUUCUUUCUGAGAGAAAGAUAGCAUAUUACAUGUUUCAACUUAGCUGAAAAUAUAAAUCAACUAGGAUUCGAACUUAAAAUCUCGAAUACCAACCACUAAACCCUUUGCCACUUGCACGUGUAAAAUGAGAUAUCAUAUUUCGACAUCAAAUAAUUUUGUUUGUAAAAAAAAUAAAUUAAUAGAGCAAAAGUUAAAUAUUUAUUUUAUAAUCAUAAAAGCAAAUCUUUGUAUCCAAAAUAUGAGAAUAUUACUAUUGAAUAUCUUCUUUUCACGUCCAAGUAGGGCCGACAGAUUGUCAAUCUCGAACUGCAGAAUUGAUUGAGCUACGUUUAGUACUGGAAAUACUAUUGACUGCAUCCACCGUACUCUUAUACACCGAAGGUCUCGUUUGAAUGUACGAAAAUUUUUCUAGGUAUAUUUGUAAAUUUUUUUUAAAAAAAUUAUUAUAAUAUUUGACAGAUGAAAAGUAUGAUCAAAUAUCCAGAAUAAUAUAUCAUAUUUGGUCUUUAACUUAUUUUUUUUGAAAUAAAAUUAAUAUUCUACCAAUUCAAGAUACCAAGACAUUUUAGAAAAGUUUUUUUGAACGCUCAUCUAUAAUCACAAAAGAUUAUCCUCGUAUCAAUAAAACUAUUAUUGCAUAAAUUAUUUUGCUAU
rnacentral:lncRNA from 1 species